CGAACGAGACUCAAACUUUUUUAAAUAGAUGCUUGCAGGUUUAUGACGCUGAAACUAUGUGCGUGGGUGCUUUGGUUGUGCAAGCAGCCUUGGUGCUUAUGUGCAUGGUGGAGUUAUACCUGUUUGGUUUGUCUUAAGAGGACACUUUGCUUCUUAAAGGGACAAAAUGCGUCUAGCAUUAUGAGAUUGAGCAAUAACAGGUCUGUGAUGCCCUUAGAUGUCCUGGGCUGCACGCGCGCUACAAUGAAGGUAUCAAUGUGUUUUAUCCUUGACCGAGAGGUAUGGGUAAACAUUGAACCACCUUCUUGGUUGGGAUUGUGGACUGUAACUGUUCACAUGAACCCGGAAUUCCCAGUAAGUGUGAGUCAUAAGCUUGCAUUGAUUACGUCCCUGCCCUUUGUACACACCGCCCGUCGCUACUACUGAUGAAUUGUUUAGUGAGGUCUCUGGACGUGUGCGCCGAAAUACUCUUGUAGUAAUUUGGUUUGUUACACAGAAGUUGACCGAACUUGAUUAUU
rnacentral:rRNA from 1 species